AUUGAACGCUGGCGGCAGGCCUAACACAUGCAAGUCGAGCGGCAGCGGGAAAGUAGCUUGCUACUUUUGCCGGCGAGCGGCGGACGGGUGAGUAAUGCCUGGGAAAUUGCCCAGUCGAGGGGGAUAACAGUUGGAAACGACUGCUAAUACCGCAUACGCCCUACGGGGGAAAGCAGGGGACCUUCGGGCCUUGCGCGAUUGGAUAUGCCCAGGUGGUAGUAGCUAGUUGGUGAGGUAAUGGCUCACCAAGGCGACGAUCCCUAGCUGGUAUGAGAGGAUGAGCAGCCACACUGGAACUGAGACACGGUCCAGACUCCUACGGGAGGCAGCAGUGGGGAAUAUUGCACAAUGGGGGAAACCCUGAUGCAGCCAUGCCGCGUGUGUGAAGAAGGCCUUCGGGUUGUAAAGCACUUUCAGCGAGGAGGAAAGGUUGAUGCCUAAUACGUAUCAACUGUGACGUUACUCGCAGAAGAAGCACCGGCUAACUCCGUGCCAGCCGCCGCUGUAACAC
rnacentral:rRNA from 1 species